rnacentral:rRNA from 1 species
UCCCUACGGGAGGCAGCAGUGAGGAAUAUUGGUCAAUGGACGAGAGUCUGAACCAGCCAAGUAGCGUGAAGGAUGACUGUCCUAUGGGUUGUAAACUUCUUUUAUAAAGGAAUAAAACGAGGCACGUGUGCCUUUUUGCAUGUACUUUAUGAAUAAGGAUCGGCUAACUCCGUGCCAGCAGCCGCGGUAAUACGGAGGAUCCGAGCGUUAUCCGGAUUUAUUGGGUUUAAAGGGAGCGUAGAUGGGUUGUUAAGUCGGCGGUAAAAGCCCGGGGCUCAACCCCGGCGAGCCGUUGAAACUGGCUG